rnacentral:rRNA from 1 species
AUUGAACGCUGGCGGCAGGCCUAACACAUGCAAGUCGAACGGCAGCACAGAAGAGCUUGCUCUUUGGGUGGCGAGUGGCGGACGGGUGAGUAAUGUCUGGGAAACUGCCCGAUGGAGGGGGAUAACUACUGGAAACGGUAGCUAAUACCGCAUAACGUCGCGAGACCAAAGUGGGGGACCUUCGGGCCUCACACCAUCGGAUGUGCCCAAAUGGGAUUAGCUAGUAGGUGGGGUAAUGGCUCACCUAGGCGACGAUCCCUAGCUGGUCUGAGAGGAUGACCAGCCACACUGGAACUGAGACACGGUCCAGACUCCUACGGGAGGCAGCAGUGGGGAAUAUUGCACAAUGGGCGCAAGCCUGAUGCAGCCAUGCCGCGUGUAUGAAGAAGGCCUUCGGGUUGUAAAGUACUUUCAGCGGGGAGGAAGGCGGUGAGGUUAAUAACCUCGCCGAUUGACGUUACCCGCAGAAGAAGCACCGGCUAACUCCGCGCCAGCCGCCGCAGUAA